GGGCGCCCAGGCGCCCCUUCGCCCCCGCGGUGACGCGCCGCCGAGCCGUGGGAAGGCCCUGGGCGGUCGCCGCCUUCACCGACGGCUGGGAGGUCCGGCCGUACUCCGCUGUCUCGGCUGCCGCGCGCUGGGUGGCCUUGGGCAGGUGCCCUGGGAGGCCCGGCGGGGAAGCCAGGAGUCCCCGUCUGUCCCUGGGUCACCUGGGCGCUGCUGGCCUGUAGAGGCGCCGCUUCGAUGCCUGGGAUUCCGCAAGGGUCAACCCCGCGCGCUCCUGCCUCCUGGUGUUCUGGAGGCAGCAGACACAUCAGGUUUGUCGAGGUUUUUAAAAAUGUGACUACUAGAAAAUGUUAAACUGCUUAUUCAGCUCCCAUGAUGUUCCUGUUGGAUGGUACUAAUCUGGUGCAGGAUUUCUUAACCUCGAGACUACUGGCAUUUUGGGCCAGAUCAUUCUGUAUUGUGCAGGGCUGUUCUGUGGAUUGUAGAAUGGGGUCAGGAGAUCCUCUCUGAGGAUGAAUCAUUAUGCAAAGACCCGAAUGGAGAGCGGGAAUCUGAGAAGAUCUGAGGGAAGAGGAUUCCAGGCAGAAGGAACAGCAAGUGGAAAGCCCUGAGUGCUUGCUCAUGACUAGGAUUCCUCCUAGAAGCCUGGCAAUCAGUCCACACACAGAUGUCUGCUCACCCGUUCCGUCUUCCUGGGGACCAGCCAUUGGUGCUUCUACCUUCCCUUUGGAGAGAGCCGGGGAUGCUCAGCAAAGGAGGAGGCUGACUCAUCAAGUGGUGAGAGUUCUCUGAAAGUGGUGAAGAAGGGGCCGCAGGGGCUCCUGCAGAUAUGGAGGAUCCGCUGAUGCAUUUCAUGGGGAGGUCAUCUCAUCCUGGAAGCCCUUGCACAGCAUCCAGUGAUGGAGAGCUCAUUACCUCCAAAGGCAGCUCUGACUGGCCUUCCACUCACAAUCCCAUGGCUGGAGAAGUUUGCUGGUGCACAUUUCAGCUCCUUCCUCUCCAGGCGUCACUUUGUCAGUACCCUUUGUCUCACACCAGACCUCCUGACACCUCCCACUUCACCCCAGGCAGCACCUCACCCUGAGGCUCAGCCUGGACAACAGCCUACCUCAUCCACUGCACUUUCCUCCCCGAGAAUUGGGGCCACAACAGUAGACACUGAUGCUCUGCCCCAUUCCCCACCAGCAGAGCUGUUCAACAAGAUGCAAUAGCUGGGGGAGUGAGGGUGGUGGAAGUGAGGGUCUUGGCAGGCAGGAGCAACUGAACUUUGGCUCAAAGCAAGAGCAAAGGAAACACUGAGCAGGUAGCUACUAAAGUUCCUCCCCAGGAAGAGCCUGCAGUGCCCCCUGCUGGCUGGAGGAGAGUUUGUAUGCAUGUUCGAUUCACUCCCCUUGCUUCCUGGGCUGAGCCCUGAUGACUAUUCAGGUUAGAGAAUCACAGGAGCAGGUAGGUCAUCUUGUCCAGUGGUUUCAAAAUGUGUAAAAUUAUAGAUAGAGUUACUGGGGGCGAUUUUGCAUUUUGUCCAUUUGACAGAGGCCUCUGAGCUGAAGGACACAUGGGGAGUGAAAUCCAGCCUCUAUCCUGCUAACUAAGCUGUGUACCCCAGCAUGCGACUGGGUCAGGCCAGAGGAGGGGCUGUCUUUUUGUUCUUCAUUCACCUAGACAGUGUCCUUUUGUAAUUUGCACAAAGGUGCCAUACAUACCAGCAGCAGCACUGACAUAGAACGCUUCCUUCUAAGAGGGCGAUCUUAAAGAACCAAGCUUCUUUGGCUAAAAGGGAGCUUGAAAACCGCCCAAAAGAUGGGGAAACUGGGGCCCAUGAAGGGGAGGGAUUACCCAAAGUCAUGCAGUUAAUUCCAGGACAGAGCUUAGAAGCCAGAUCCACUCUCUCCCAUAGCAGUGUUCUUUCCACCACAUUGAGUUAGUUUUCAUUCUAAGUCCCUUUUGAGAAAUCCUGGCUUCUCUGACCCUCCCUCUCUCAGACCCAUUAACUUCCCCCUGAAAUCCAGCGACUCUGCACAAUCCUACUGUCCUACUCGGGAUCGUGGCACAGAAUUUGCCCUAAAGGAGGGAUGUUGAGAAUGCCAGUCCCGUCUGCAUAAUUUCCUACAAGUACAUCACUCAUAGGGAUGCGGGCAGACAGGCAGAAGCACAGAACAGUGAGAAACUAGAGGGAUCUACCAGAGGACGUGUCGAAGUAUUUCAGGGAGCCUGGAGCAAUGUGGAUCAGUAAAGCUGGUGGUUCAGCUACUGUGCAGCUGGGGCCUGCUUUGCAGGUGCAGUCCGCCGGGGUGUCUGUGCCACGCCAUAAGGCACAUGGGCGGCCACGGUGCCCAUCUCCUGAGCCCCAGCCACAUGGAACAUCUGGUCAUCAAAGAAGAUGUGUGGGCGGAUCUUCUCUAGGAGGGGGCCCUUGGGCGCUCCAGCGAGGAACAAGGCUUCAUCUGUCUCCAGGCCCCAGCUGCGCAGGGUCUUGAGAGCCCGGGCCCCAGAACUGGCUGCGCUGCGUGCUGUCACCAAGUAGGUACGAAUUGGACACUCCAGCCGUAGGCCUUUGGAGUAGAACUUCUUCUGCAACCUACCCAGUGCCUCCAGAAAGCCCUUUAAGGGGCCCUAUGAGAAGGCAAGGGGAACACUGUUAGCUCUGCCACCUCCCAAAUAUUUGCCCCCUGCUCUCCCUAAAGCACUAGUGUCUUGUUUGGUGUGAAAAGUUCAGGAUCCCUAAAUCUUUCAGUUAGUUCUGCUCAUGCCUGCUUAUGCUGCUGUGUGCGCCAGUGGGGCUCCAGUCAGGGGAACUGUGUUAUUGCAUACUGGUGCAGGGUCAGAAUAACUCUCAGGGCAACUGUUGAUAUGUAUCCUCCAUCCAUAUGCCCAUCAAGGUAUACAGAUGUCUGUCCUGAAGCUCUGUAAGUGUGGCCUUCGGUGCCCAUCAACAGGGAGGAUAUUAAAACUAGUAACUAUGGCAUGGGCACCCUUCAAUCAGAAUGGACUCCAGCAGUAAACAGCUGGAGAAGAUGGGCCAAUGUGUAACUGUUGAGUAUCAACCGUGCCCAUCUGGCACCCAGGUGGCUCAGGGUGUCAUCCUCAAGCUCUCUAGGGUCAGGGAAAGAAUUUAUUCUCUACAGUGCCCAGAACAAUGAAGCUUCCUGAGGAUGUGAGAAUAAAAAAGCAGACGACAAUGAAGAAAACUGCUUAUUUCCAAAGCAGCUAGAAAUAAACAAAAGGGGGCUCUUCGUCUUGGAGACCUCUUGCUUGCUAGGUGAACUGGAAUAAGCAGUGGUCUCCUGGGCCUCUGCUUGCCACUUAGUAGGAUAACUCUCCUGCCCUGGAUUCCCAAGGAUUUCAGAGGCAACUCACAAGAACAGAUGUGAACUGAAUAUUUAGGAGCCACAACUGAAACCUGCUGAGCUCUUGGAGCGAGGGGCUCUGAGAUUAUUGAGCACCCAGAUUUUUGUUAAAAGCUCAAAUAGGAGCUCGCAGCAGAGCUGGAGAAUCCAAAAGCCCCAACUCCAGGGAGUUUCCACCAAGCUCUAGGGUAUAUUCUAUUCUGAGAGACACUGAGCAGUUUGAGGGUGAGUGAGUGUCCCUGUGCCCCCAGCUAAGGGAUGGAUGGCAGGAGGUGUCCCAAAGCAAAUGGUCUGCCCCAGAUGCCACACCCAGCUGGAUCUCCCUGCCCCAGUGAGGCGUCCCAGUCCAGCAGUUCAUUUCCUCCUGUUUCCAGGGAGGGAAACAGGCUUCUUAAGAGGGUGGGCAUGCUCUCAGAGGGGUGGGGGAACUCAGGGGAGGAAGUGAGGGUUCCAGAGAGAGGAUGGGAGCUUCAGAGAAACAGAAUGAGGCCUUCAGAGCAGGGCAGGGACUUCAGAGAAGGGGUGGGGAUGUAGAGAAUGGGGACAUCAGGCAGGGAAAGGAGACCUCAGAAAUGGGGAUUUGAGCUGCAGAGAGUGGGUUUGGGCUUAGAGAAAGGCUUAGAGAAUGGAGGCUUCAGAGGGCGGUUGGGACUUCAGUGAGGGGAUGUGGGCUCAACAAAGUGGGUGGAAGCUCAUUGAUGGGGGGCCAGUGGUCAAGUGAGAGGGUUGAGGGAACCGGGCUGGAAUCUGGGCUGAGCCUGGGGUUUGUUUGGUUCCGGGCUGGGAGUGCAGGCCAAGGGCGGAUCUGGGGAGCUGCCUUGUUCCUCUCAGGGAUUCUCGGUCUAUAUGGAGCACCUGAGCCAGAGGUUUGUUCUCGUGGGCCUUCUCAUGCUCGAAGAAUCGGUCCAGCCCGUGGGCCUUGACAAUGCGCUCCGACUCGUCCGAGAAGAGCACAGCGUCCCCGUCGAAGGCCACGCGCAGCUGACUCUGGGACACAACCACGUCCCUGCUGGGGCUGAAGAUGGUGGCAGCUGCGAUCCCUAGGCAGAGAGAGGCAAGCAUUGUCUGCCUUCAGGCUGGGCAGUAGGGCCAGAGCGGGCUAACUUAGGCUGUCCUUGCCCCACCUGCCUCAUAUGGGACUCAGGGCAAGGCUGAUAAAAACUAAUAUUUAAAACAUGUGAAAACUGGUAGUGCAUGGAUCCUGGCCACGAAGAGGGCAGCAGCAGUGGCUCUGAAGCAGAUCUCUAGGGCCCUUGCCUUGCCAGGUUACCCUGUUGGUUAUUGCUUUGUGGAAAAGUCUGGGAGGAGUCCCGGGGGGCAGGAGGGCACUCAGGACUCAGGGCAGGAACUAUUUACCAACCAGUGUGAAGCAAUUUUGAUACUUGAACCCCUAGUAAGAUCAUGCUGCUGUGGACCAGCCAAACAUGAGUCCCACCAGCCACUGCCUUCCUGCCAGGGGUGUUUACAACCUCUGCUGUAGACCUACACUGGGGCUGGAAGGAGCCCCAACUCUGGCUUGGCCUCAGUCACUCCCUUACCAUUGGUUCUAGCAAGUCACUCACCUUCUCUGGACCACUGUAAAAUUAAGGGCCUCUCAUCUCUGGGGCUGAGACUAUAGGCUGCAAUCGGGUGAGGUGAGUACGGGCACCCUCAGUCUACAGCCACGAUGACACCCAGGUACGCCCUACUGGCAGCUGUUCAGGGUUCCAAAAAACAACCUAGGUGGCCCUGGGAGACAGCACAAGUGAUGGCUAGUUGUGUGCACAAACUCUCUGCAACCCCGGGCUCCUCCAGGGAUCCAAGGAUGCCUCUCAGGGGUUCAGGCUCCAGGCUAGAGCUGCACUAGAUGGCAGAAAGCCAGUGCUGGGAGGCUGGAGACCUGGGCUGCUAGCUGAGCCCAUUCCCUAGUCUCCCUCUCUUCAAAGACCACUUCAGCCCAACUCUUUGAGAACUGAGGAUCACAGAGGCUGGGCUUAGGUGAGCUUUGGGAGGAGUGAGCAGUGCUACCCGCACACAACUUCACUAGCCUGAGGAUGCUACAAGCAGGGCCAGUGCCAGGCAUCAAGCCAAGCACCUUCUCAGCUCUGCCAGCACUGGAACCAAGAUGAUCCAGAACCACCCCUACCCUCAGCAGGGCCUCCCUGUGGACCACUAUCUUGCUCCUUAGCCUGAGGUCAAGUUACAAACACACAGAGGCACACCUACAUGCCAGUGCCAAGGCCCCAACCAGAGGGUGUGACAUCUGUCUAGGAAAAUGGCUCCUGGUUCCUGGUUAAAGAAAGCCUCUAGGAGCUCCAAAGCAGCUCAGGGGAGUGAGUUAUCAGGGGGAGAGAGACCAGGCUUCCAGGCAGCAGGCAACAUGAAAGAGGAAGAGAAAAGUGAAUAUAUUGUUGGUUGAUAAAGAAACUUGCCACUAGUGUUCAGCUUAAGGAGCCCUCUCAGGCAGCUGGCCAGUCCUUUCUCCUGUAUGGGCCUGUUUUCUCCCACCUGCAAUAGGAUAUGCACCUCGUUGGGAGGACUGAGAAUAUGGAUACCACCCAAAACUGCCCCUGGAAAGACACACACAUACUAUCCUGGCUAACAUGGUAGAACACUGUCUCUACUAAAAAUACAAAAAAUUAGCUGGACAUGGUGGCGGA